GGGGAAUAUUGCACAAUGGGCGAAAGCCUGAUGCAGCAACGCCGCGUGAGUGAUGAAGGCCUUCGGGUUGUAAAGCUCUGUCUUUUGGGACGAUAAUGACGGUACCAAAGGAGGAAGCCACGGCUAACUACGUGCCAGCAGCCGCGGUAAUACGUAGGUGGCAAGCGUUGUCCGGAUUUACUGGGCGUAAAGGAUGCGUAGGCGGAUUUUUAAGUGAGAUGUGAAAUACCCGGGCUUAACUUGGGUGCUGCAUUUCAAACUGGAAAUCUAGAGUGCGGGAGAGGAGAGUGGAAUUCCUAGUGUAGCGGUGAAAUGCGUAGAGAUUAGGAAGAACACCAGUGGCGAAGGCGACUCUCUGGACCGUAACUGACGCUGAGGCAUGAAAGCGUGGGUAGCAAAC
rnacentral:rRNA from 1 species